rnacentral:pre_miRNA from 1 species
AUACUACUUCCUCCGUUCGAAAAUACUUGUCCUAAAAAUGGAUAAAAUGGAUGUAUCUAUAACUAAAAUAAGUCUAGAUACAACCAUUUUUAGGACAAGUAUUUCCGGACGGAGGGAGUAGUAU